GUACGGAAGGCAGCAAUUAGGAAUCUUGCGCAAUGGGGGAAACCCUGACGCAGCGACGCCGCGUGAAGGAUGAAGGCCUUCGGGUCGUAAACUUCUUUUAAGAGGGAAGAAACAAAUGACGGUACCUCUUGAAUAAGCCCCGGCUAACUACGUGCCAGCAGCCGCGGUAAUACGUAGGGGGCGAGCGUUGUCCGAAGUUACUGGGCGUAAAGCGCGCGUAGGCGGGCUUUUAAGUCGGAUGUGAAAUCUCCACGGCUCAACCGGGAAACCGCAUCCGAAACUGGAAGCCUUGAGGUAUGGAGAGGGAAGUGGAAUUCCUGGUGUAGCGGUGAAAUGCGUAGAUAUCAGGAGGAACACCCGUGGCGAAGGCGGCUUCCUGGCCAUAUCCUGACGCUGAGGUGCGAAAGCCAGGGGAGCGAACGGGAUUAGAUACCCCGGUAGC
rnacentral:rRNA from 1 species